GUAUCCUUACCUGAAUACAUAGGGUAAGGAGGCGAACCGGGGGAACUGAAACAUCUAAGUACCCCGAGGAAAAGAAAUCAACCGAGAUUCCGAAAGUAGCGGCGAGCGAAAUUGGACUAGCCCUUAAGCUUUACACGCGUUAGACGAACGGUCUGGAAAGUCCGACGAUACAGGGUGAUAGUCCCGUAGUUGACGACGUGUGUUCAGUGAAAUCGAGUAGGGCGGGACACGUGAUAUCCUGUCUGAAUAUGGGGGGACCAUCCUCCAAGGCUAAAUACUACUGACUGACCGAUAGUGAACCAGUACCGUGAGGGAAAGGCGAAAAGAACCCCUGUGAGGGGAGUGAAAUAGAACCUGAAACCGUGUACGUACAAGCAGUAGGAGCAGGCUU
rnacentral:rRNA from 1 species